rnacentral:rRNA from 1 species
AUUGAACGCUGGCGGCAUACCUUACACAUGCAAGUCGAACGGCAGCACGGGAGCAAUCCUGGUGGCGAGUGGCGAACGGGUGAGUAAUAUAUCGGAACGUGCCCAGUCGUGGGGGAUAACGCAGCGAAAGCUGUGCUAAUACCGCAUACGAUCUAAGGAUGAAAGCGGGGGAUCGCAAGACCUCGCGCGAUUGGAGCGGCCGAUAUCAGAUUAGCUAGUUGGUGGGGUAAAGGCCCACCAAGGCGACGAUCUGUAGCUGGUCUGAGAGGACGACCAGCCACACUGGAACUGAGACACGGUCCAGACUCCUACGGGAGGCAGCAGUGGGGAAUUUUGGACAAUGGGCGCAAGCCUGAUCCAGCAAUGCCGCGUGCAGGAUGAAGGCCUUCGGGUUGUAAACUGCUUUUGUACGGAACGAACCGGCCCUUUCUAAUACAGGGGGCUAAUGACGGUACCGUAAGAAUAAGCACCGGCUAACUACGUGCCAGCCGCCGCAGUAAUAC